rnacentral:lncRNA from 1 species
AGACCUGGGAGGAGCUGCGCUGACUGGGGCACGAGACGUCCAGAUUGGAUCGGUUCCGAGCUCUCGUCGCCCCCGAGGAGGGCACGACGCGCUGACAAACGUGGCCGUCAACACCUCGAGCUGCCCCGGCGAGUUAUUUCAACAGACUGGGAAAGAGCCGCACUAUUUGAGUGGCAGGCGACGCCUUUCCCCACUCUCAUGCACGCAAACUGCAGAGCUGAAAUGAGCUGAACUAAGAGCGGAAUUGAAAUACACCAGGGGUUUCCCUGCAGGAGUUGUUCCAACAAGGUAUCCACGGGUUUCAAGAUCCGUUGAAAUGCUUCAGGUGUGGUUUGCAUUCUCACCGACCCUCGGGCCAGUUCCCUCGCCCCCAACCGCCGUUAUUUGUUCCCCCCACCUACUUCAAUAGUUGCGCCUCACCCUUCCUUGGCGCCAUUAAAUCAGCACCCCGCACCCCCGCCAGUUUUGCAACUUCUUCUCCUUGCCCUUUAAAAGAGUUACACUUUCUAAGAAGACUUAAAAAAAAAAAAAGGACAAGAAAUGGAUAUAGGUUUUGUAAGUGUUAAAUAACUUUCUCAGCGUG